CGUAGGGUGCGAGCGUUAAUCGGAAUUACUGGGCGUAAAGCGUGCGCAGGCGGUUUUGUAAGCCCGGUGUGAAAUCCCCGGGCUUAACCUGGGAAUGGCAUUUGGGACUGCAAGGCUUGAGUGCGGCAGAGGAGACUGGAAUUCCUGGUGUAGCAGUGAAAUGCGUAGAUAUCAGGAGGAACACCAGUGGUGAAGGCGGCUUCCUGGCCUGUUCUUGACGCUGAGGCGCGAAAGCUAGGGGAGCAAACGGG
rnacentral:rRNA from 1 species